rnacentral:lncRNA from 1 species
CCUGUCCCCACCGAGGGGACUAUGGGAGCCAUGGAGGGUGCGUGAGCAGCAGGUGAGACUGGAGCCAGCUGAAAACUGGGAGACCGACCCAGCCAACAAACAAUGUCGGUCUCUGUCCUGGCACCCGCAGGAAACAAGCUCCUACUUCCAGAAAAAGUGCUCCUGGGACUCAAGGAUACCAAGCAUCUGGGUAAGGUACAACGCUUAACCACUUAACACAAUCAGGAAGCAACAGCCACGCAUUUGGGAAAGGAACUUCAGCGUUGUGUGGCUCAGUCUCCAGACCUAACUUUCCCUUUGGUACAGACGCAGUGGUAGAUGCCUGUAAUCCCAACACUUAGGCAGGAGGAUCACUCGAGCCCAGAAGAUCAAGACUAGCGUGAGCAACAAAAUGGGCGUAGUGGUGAACACCUGUAAUCUCAGCUACUUGGAAGGCUGAGGCAGGAGAACUGCUUGAACCCGAGAGGCGGAGGUCGCAGUGAGCUGAGAUCGCAACAUUGCACUCCAGCCUGGGCUACAGAACAAGACUCUGUCUCAAAAAGAAAAAAAAAAGAAUUCAGAAUUCACCUGUCGCCUGCUGCUGCAGUGAACAGUGAGUGGCAC